rnacentral:antisense_RNA from 1 species
CAGGCUGUGAAAACACUUCAGGCCAGUCCCUGAGUAGGAAUGAACAACAAGGUGAUCACCAUGCUGACAGCUAUUCCCUGUGUGAUUUACUUUAUCAUGAAGUCUAAAUUUGAUGCUGAAGUGCUAGCCUAAGCUCACUAACCUGCCAACUUAGAGAAGAAGGUAACCAUGGCUAGGAUGACUGGGAAUCUGAUGGACUCAAUUAAGAAUUUCUACAGAUGGGAAAACCAAAACUCCUUAGUGGCAAGAGGCCAAAGAUGGUCAGCGAAUUGUUGUUUCCAGCUGGUGGAAGUUGACUGCAGUUGAAUAAUAGAACAAAAACGGAGCUUCAAAAUCAUGGUGUGCCUGCUUCUUCUGAGUUCUUUUAACUGCAAGAAAUCAGCUUUGAAGAGCACCUCAAGAAUACCAUUUACAUAUGAAAGAAAAUAGGAGAUGGCUCAGAAUAAUAUGUCCAAGGCCACGCCCAGGGGUCAGGGAUUCAUGAAUUUUGUAUACAGUGUAUGAUGUUUCUAGAUUAAAAUAUUUUCAAAGGUAA